rnacentral:rRNA from 1 species
AAAGAAACUAACAAGGAUUCCCCUAGUAACGGCGAGUGAAGCGGGAUGAGCUCAAAUUUGAAAGCUGGCAGCAAUGUCCGCGUUGUAAUCUCGAGAAAUGUUUUCCGUGCUGGACCAUGUAUAAGUUCCUUGGAAUAGGAUGUCAUAGAGGGUGAAAGUCCCGUACUUGACAUGGACGCCCAGUGCUUUGUGAUACAUUUUCGAAGAGUCGAGUUGUUUGGGAAUGCAGCUCAAAAUGGGUGGUAAAUUCCAUCUAAAGCUAAAUAUUGGGGAGAGACCGAUAGCGAACAAGUACCGUGAGGGAAAGAUGAAAAGCACUUUGGAAAGAGAGUUAAACAGUACGUGAAAUUGUCAAAAGGGAAGCAUUUGAAGUCAGACGUGUGUAGUGGUAUUCAGCCUUGCUUUUGCUUGGUGUAUUUGCCGCUGUACAGGCCAACAUCAGUUUCGAGUGACGGAUAAGGGUAUGGAGAAUGUAGCAGCUUCGGCUGUGUUUAUAGCUCUAUACUGGAUACGUUGUUUGGGACUGAGGAACGCAGCGCGCCGUAAGGCAGACCUUCGGGUACUUUCGCGCUUAGGAUGUUGGCGUAAUGGCUUUAAGUGACCCGUCUUGAAACACGGACCAAGGAGUCUAACAUGUCUGCGAGUCUUUGGGUGGCAAACCCGUGGGCGCAAUGAAAGUGAAUGCAGGUGGGAUCCGCAAGGAGCACCAUCGACCGAUCCAGAUCUUCUGUGACGGAUUUGAGUAAGAGCAUAUAUGUUGGGACCCGAAAGAUGGUGAACUAUGCCUGAAUAGGGUGGAAGCCAGAGGAAACUCUGGUGGAGGCUCGUAGCGGUUCUGACGUGCAAAUCGAUCGUCAAAUUUGGGUAUAGGGGCGAAGACUAAUCGAACCAUUAUAGACUACUAGGUGGUUGAGAGGUGGCGAAGAGUGCCAUCUAGUUGGGGCAUUUCAAUAUGCUCUGGCGACAUUGUCAAAGUGCGGGAACCUUCUAAAGACUUUUGCUACCAAGCGUCGUGUAGAAAUACAGGCGUGGCCGGGGUAAUGACCUAGGGUAUGGUAAAAACGCAAAGUAUGAGUCGAUUUCGGAUCGAUGAAAUGAACAAUCCGCAGCCAAGUUCUACGGGGGACAAAUCGUCCUCUACGAAUGCAGUUCAGAGACUCUAUGGCAGUGGGUGUAUCGUGUACUCGAUACGCUUAAGAUAAAGUCCAUUCCCUUGCGAAAGCUUGUUGGAGGAAGAGGUGACGUUUGUGUCGCCAGAGCCUUCAAGAUUAUCAUCGAAUGAUAAAUCGGAUUCACAGCUAGUAGCUGGUUCCUGCCGAAGUUUCCCCUCAGGA